CCUACGGGGGGCAGCAGUGGGGAAUAUUGGACAAUGGGGGGAACCCUGAUCCAGCCAUGCCGCGUGUGUGAAGAAGGCCCUCGGGUUGUAAAGCACUUUCAGUGAGGAAGAACGCCUGGUGGUUAAUACCCAUCAGGAAAGACAUCACUCACAGAAGAAGCACCGGCUAACUCCGUGCCAGCAGCCGCGGUAAUACGGAGGGUGCGAGCGUUAAUCGGAAUUACUGGGCGUAAAGCGCGCGUAGGUGGCUUGAUAAGCCGUUGUGAAAGCCCCGGGCUCAACCUGGGAACGGCAUCCGGAACUGUCAAGCUAGAGUGCAGGAGAGGAAGGUAGAAUUCCCGGUGUAGCGGUGAAAUGCGUAGAGAUCGGGAGGAAUACCAGUGGCGAAGGCGGCCUUCUGGACUGACACUGACACUGAGGUGCGAAAGCGUGGGUAGCAAACAGGAUUAGAUACCCUUGUAGUC
rnacentral:rRNA from 1 species